GACGAACGCUGGCGGCGUGCUUAACACAUGCAAGUCGAACGGUAAGGCCCUUCGGGGUACACGAGUGGCGAACGGGUGAGUAACACGUGGGUGAUCUGCCCUGCACUUCGGGAUAAGCCUGGGAAACUGGGUCUAAUACCGGAUAGGACCACUGCCUGCAUGGGUGGUGGUGGAAAGCUUUUGCGGUGUGGGAUGGGCCCGCGGCCUAUCAGCUUGUUGGUGGGGUGAUGGCCUACCAAGGCGACGACGGGUAGCCGGCCUGAGAGGGUGACCGGCCAAGCUGGGACUGGGAUACGGCCCAGACUCCUACGGGGGGCAGCAGUGGGGAAUAUUGCACAAUGGGCGCAAGCCUGAUGCAGCGACGCCGCGUGAGGGAUGACGGCCUUCGGGUUGUAAACCUCUUUCAGCACCGACGAAGCGCAAGUGACGGUAGGUGCAGAAGAAGGACCGGCCAACUACGUGCCAGCAGCCGCCGUAA
rnacentral:rRNA from 1 species